rnacentral:lncRNA from 1 species
UUUUUUUUUAGUGAUUAGCACAUCACACUUAGAAUAAAAUGAAAAGGCACACUUGAACCAUUUUUGUUUAGGAAUCACCUCUAAACAUUUAUAGGCCUAUGUACUGAUCUCUUUUAUUUUCCACAUCUUAGCUUUAUGUGCAACCAUCAUCAGGUCUCUCAACAGAGCACCCCUUCUAAUAUUUUAUUUAAAUUGGCAUAUAGAUGCUUAAGACACGACCUAUUAUAUACCACUAUUUAAAAACUUGCACCAAUCCCUACAAAUUCAAACAAUAACAUAAUGGUUGAAGUUAUAUAAUUGCUCAAGUAAUGUUUAGACAUACAUUUUGUUUAUAAGAAAUGAAAUAUCAUUUAUGGUCACCAAUAUCUUCAAGAAGCAUAGUAAUAAACAAGCUUUAGUAGUUUCAGUCAUCAACCCCAAAAGCUAUGAGUAAGUGUAGUGAUAUAUUUGUAUAGGCCCAGAAAUGGGGCGGCAUAAGACCUAUCUUCACCAAGCACCCACCCCAUAAUACGCUGCCUAGGCAUAACCCUCACACAUUAGGUGGCUCUCAAUUGGGGGAAUAUGAAUGAUUAUGUGUACAUAACCUAUAACCGCAUGUGCAAGAAGUCUUGGUCACAUUUCCCUAAAAAGUAGGUAGUCAACAACUUCCGUAGUCGAGGUGGAGUAAUUCCCAUUUCUAAGGAGCCCCUAAAUUCAGGCCCAUAAGCUUUUAUAAAUACCUUAACUCUAGGGUUGAGGAGGAUGAAUUUGAACAUAUAGAAAGUACCCCCAUAUAUAGAGCCUCUCGCCUCAUGUGAGCUUGCUUUCUCCACACCAAAAAUACUUUAAAAUAGGGCAUCUCACAACCAUGAUCUUUCCCUAAACCACCAAAUUUCUUAAAUUCCAUGGCCACCCUACCAGCAUAUGUGUGCCACACAUAUGUACUUUUUUAGCAAACAUAAUAGUGCCCAUCAUGGGGACUCAGUAAAACUAACACAUAUCACACCUUUAAUUAUCACCACCACUUUAACACUCACAAAAACCUCCACUCUUAUCCCUAACUGCUCCCAGUCAUGGUUGUUAGAAGAGCGCAAUCCCCCACACAGGAGGUAGCAAUGAUCCCAACCAUAGUGGAGAUGCGUGCCUCCAUGGUUGAACUGCACCACUAGCAUCAAAACCUGAAGGAUAACGUCCUUAACAUCCAACAACGUCAAUAUGAGACUACCCCUGUAGAGGAGAUGGAAGUUCUGGACCCAUAGCCAUUUUUUGAUGAAAUAUGGGAAAUAUUUGUUCCUUAAGAUUUCAAACCUCUCCCCUAGAUAAUUUCGAUGGAUGUAGCGACCCUUACGAGCAUGUCGUUCUUAUCAAUAUGCGGAUGACCAUCAUCAGAGUGCCUGACUCUCUAAAAUGCAAGUUUUUGACAGAUAAUUUCAGAGAUGCAGCCUUGUGAUGGUACAUAGGCCUUCCUCGAGUUUCCAUCGCCAACUACGAGGAACUAGUUUCACAUCUAUCAGUAUAAAAAGAUGUCUACCACCAGCCUGUUUAACAUUCGACAAGGCCCUUCGUAAUCAUUGAGAGAAUAUCUUGCCCGUUUCAACGAAGCGGCCAAAAACGUCAUCCACCCAAACCAAGAAAUGUUUAUGGGAGAAUUUCAGAAUGACCUAAAAGUGGGGAACUUCAACGAGUCCCUGACCCAAUGGCCAUAAUCUUUGUUAGCGGAGGUGGUCACAAGGGCGAAAUUCUAUAUAAAGGGCGAGGAAAGUAGCGUCGAGAAGAAGGCUUGUUGCGUAAAUGAGUGUGUUCCUUACGUCGAUGGCUCAUCGAAAUCUCAAAAGAACAAUUUGAAAUUCUGGUAUCAGAUAUGAGAUGUCGAAGAUAAUGUCACGACACUAAUAUCUGAACAACAAGUGACAUAUAAACAGGAUAAAAAUAGAGAAACAAUUGAAAAAGCGACACAAGCAAUUGUUAACCCAGUUCGGUGCAAACACACCUACGUCUGAGGGCUACCAAGCCAGGAAGGAAAUCCACUAAACAAAAAUAGUUCAAAGACUCUCAGUAAACAACUUCAAGUUACAGUCUUUUCACCUAAUCUCUACCCGAGUGACUUCUAUCUAAUAACUCUUAGAUAUGAGACCCUACUUACUCCCCCUCAAUCACAACAGUGAUACUAGAACAAAUACUACAAAGAAAGAAGACACACUUCAAGGACACAUACUUGAUCUUGCUUAAAAGCUUCAAUCAAGUAAACAAAUACACUCGUACUUCAAAUCUUAUAGUGGAAAAAUUAUAACUCAAAACUCAGUCCAAUUCACACAUCAACAAGAUGAAUGAAUGGCUCACAAUUCACAAACGUACAUUAGGCUAAAACCCUAAUACUCACUCACUUCAACGUUUGUAUUUUCUUCUUUUUUUCCACACAAGGUUUACAUGGUCUUUAAAUAGAAGCUUUCUAAAUGGGUCUGGGCAACAUGUAACCCCAAUCCUAUUUAACGCGUAUUCCCCACGAACAAAUCAUUCCUCUUUGAGAAACAAAAUAUUUUGGAUUUAAAUAGAAUUACUCCUUGAAUAACGCAUGCAAUCUCCACAUAAGCACACAAAGACUUGCAUGAAAAGCGCAACAAAAAACACAUAACAUUCAGACUGAAUGUUCUGUAUGCACAUGUCUUAACAUCGGGUCUGACAUCUUGAAUAAAUCCUGCACAACCAUAUUAAACAACCUACAGGAAGCUGAUAUCACAUGUCAAGACACCACGUGUGACAUCUAGUGAUAACACUAAGUUGUACCAAAAUUGAUGCCAAUACAUAGAACUAACAAACUCCCCCUUUGGCGAAUUUUGGCUAAAACAUACAACAGAUCACACGUUCACAAGAAAUCAAUCAAAGUAUCAGUUCAGCAGCAAAAGUAAACAUACACACAUUACUAGAAACAAUAACAACUAGUAAACACACAAGCGCUUGUACUUAGAACACACCAUCUCUCCCUUCAUCUAGUCCACAAUAAGCAACAACCUGCUUCACACAGACAGAACACAGACACAGAGAAUCCACCCCCUUUGCCAAAACAAAUACACACCAGAAAGUUCUCCCCCUUUGUAUCAGACAAACAUCAUCUAUAGCUAUAGCUACUUCUCCCCCUUUUUAGCCAAAAGAGACCAAAGAGACAAAAUAAAUAUCUAUUUAGUCAUUAACUGAAAUACCAAAAGUUAAAGGGUUACAAAACCAAGUACAUAACCAGCUGUAAGCAAGCUGAGAAACAGAUCAACAAAGUACUACCAAAAACACGAAAAUCCACCAAAACAACAAAAAACCCAUCAAAUCAAUAGGGACCAAAGUCAGAGGAGCUACUUAGUAGAGCUUGAGCUUGCAACUUCAUCAGCACCAGAAACAGACUUGCCACUUGUCUCAUCAUUGUUUGCAGACCUCUCACUAAAGGUGUGGGCUUCAGCUUCUUUAGCAUGUUCAAUAUUUUCACCUUCAGCCUGCUCCAAGCUUGCAAUCAAGGCUUCCAACGAUUGUUUUCUAGUUGUGACUACCCUUAUCCCUUCACCCAGCUCUUUGCGAGUCUCCUUAAGCUCAACAAUUGUUCCAACUUUUGAGGGUGGUCUUUUCAUUGCAGAUGUCAUGACAAUAUCCUCGACAUGACUGCCUUCAAACAGUUUAUAGUGCACAGACAGAGCAGGUUUUCUUCUACUAGGCAGGUCAUUAGAGCACAGAAUACCAGAGUGUUGAUUCAAGAUAAUUCCACAGAUCAUAGAGGGAAAGGCAAUUGGCAGCUUAACUGUAUUAGUAGAUGCAUGCUUGAUGAUUUGUUCAAACAUAAAUCUACCAUAGUCAAAUUUCACUUUUGUUCCAACAACAAAAAUAAACCUUCCAAGGGUAUCAGCAAUGGUGGAGAUAUGGUUGGUAGGGACCCAGUUGGCAGCUCCUAUUUUAUGCAGGAUUGCAUACUUGACGGUCAACUUCCCAGCAGGAAGGUGCUUUUUAACAGGCCAACCUUUCACCUUCCUAGCUGUAAUCUCUCUACAGACCUUAUUGUUUGUAACUUCUAAUUCACUUGCACCCUCAUUAUCUCUGCCUAGAAAAUUAUUAAUAAUAGUAGGAGAAAAUGUUAUGCACUUACCCCUCACAUACACCUUGCAGAAUUCCUUGCUAUUCUUAUCAGAAAUGUCCUCAGGAAUGUUAACAAUAAAUUCCUUAACUAAACCUUCAUAGCAUUGAGAGAAUCCAACAACAGUCUUCAACAACCCAACAACUUUUAUUAGGUUUGUGACCUCCUUGACAUCAACAACAUCUUUUCCCAACUCCAUUUCCACAACUACCCUUCUCUGAAUCACAAAUUUCCACUUUGCAGCCCCAUCCUCAAGAUGGAAGGAGAUGUUAUCCAAAUGAACAACAUGGACUUUACCAGGAGACUUCCUAACAGUGGUUUUCUUCACAGGCGAGAUGUCAGGGACAUCUUCCUUAACAUCCUCUUCAGACUCAGAAUCAUCUCUGACCUUCCUCUUCUUCACUUCAACCUUGCUCCAAGAUUUGGAGGGACCAAUACCAACAGUCUUCUUAGCUUUUCUAGCUGACAUAAGUUCAGCCACAGAUCUUCCUUUGUGAGUCUUCAUGCGUUUAGCCACACUUGUCUUUAGGUGAUGAAGUAAGCUUUCCUCUUGAUCAUCAGAGCUACCAUCCUCUAGAUCAAUCACAACAUUUGCAUCAUCAUGCUUCUCAGAGUGGGAAGCAUUGGCUGUUUUAGAUGCCACAUAUUUUCCUUUUUCAGACACGGUUUGCCCUAGAGAGCACAACCCUUCAGCAGCCAAGUCCUUCUCAGAACUGAAGGAAUCGUCAUCCUUACCACUAUGUUGUUCAACCUCAGGAGAGGGGUACAUUUGAGAAAGGGGAGUAGAAACUCCCUUCACAGAGUGUCCUUCAUUAAGGAUUCUAGUGACUAGGUCUCUUAUAACAGUCAUCCUUACCACUAUGUUGUUCAACCUCAGGAGAGGGGUACAUUUGAGAAAGGGGAGUAGAAACUCCCUUCACAGAGUGUCCUUCAUUAAGGAUUCUAGUGACUAGGUCUCUUAUAACACGAUCAAUGUGAUGUAUAUCUUCCUUAGAAUUAGGGACAAGAGUUGAACCAGAAGGAAUACUAGAGGAGUUACCUUGAUUGGAGCAUGUAGAAGUUGAGGCAUCAAUGGGUUGGUUCAAAUCAAUGGCCUCGUAGGGGAUAACAGAGAGAGGAACAACAUCCAGAAUCUCAUCAUCGGGAAUGCCCAUGGGAGGAGCACUAACCUUUUGAGUAGACUUAGUAUUUUUAGAAGCAGGUGUAUCUUGAUGUUGUGACAUUUUGGAGUUUUUUCUGGAAAAAAUACAGUUUCCCUAGCAGAGGUUUGUGAAGAAGGAGCAGGAAUAUGAAAGAUUUAGAGUAGGUAGUGAGGUUAUGGGGGUAGCGUGUGAAGAUGGGAUACAUGGUAUUUCCAAAACAAGGUGAUGAUUUACCAUAAUGAGGGCGCUUUAUUUUAGCCACAUAGACACUAAUUUGAUUACUUUUUCCACUCCAUAUUAAUUGCUACAAGUCUUCAUAAAUGCAAAUCCCUAAUUUUCCUCUCAGGACUUCAAACUGAUUUGCAUCCAAGGUCUUUGUAAAAAUAUCAGCUAACUGCAUCUCAGUAGCAACAUGCUCUAAGACUACAAUCUUAUCCUCCACAAGUUCUCUAAUAAAAUGGUGACAUAUAUCAAUAUGUUUGGUCCUGAUGUGCUGAAUAGGAUUCUUUGAGAUGUUUAUGGCACUCAGGUUGUCACAGUACAAUGUCAUGACAUCUCGUGAGACAUUGUAUUCAGUCAGCAUUUGUUUCAUCCACACCAGUUGAGAACAACUACUUUCAGCUGCUAUGUAUUCAACUUCAGCAGUAGACAGAGAAACACAAUUUUGCUUCUUACUAAACCAUGAUAUUAAAUUGUUCCCCAAGAAGAAGCAUCCUUCUGAUGUGCUUUUCCUAUCAUCAGCACUUCCAGCCCAAUCAACAUUACAAUAUCUAGAUAACACAGAUUCAGAUCCAUGAGUGUAUAGCAUCCCAUAGUCACAAGUGCCAUUGACAUAUUUCAGGAUCCUUUUCACUUGGUUUAUAUGGCUCACCUUUGGUUCAUCUUGAUAUCUAGCACAUACACCUACAACAAAAGCAAUGUCAGGUUUGCUUGCUGUAAGAUAUAACAGACCCCCUAUCAUGCUUCUUUAGAGACUUUGAUCCACACUGACACCAUUUUCAUCUUUAGACACUUUCAGAUGAGUAGGAGCAAGUGUACUCUUGUGGCUUGCAUUCUCCAUGCCAAACUUCUUAACAAUAUUCUUGGCAUAUUUACUUUGAGAUAGAAAGAUAGAAUCUUCCACCUGCUUGACUUGCAAGCCAAGAAAAUAUGUUAGUUCUCCAACAAGGCUCAUUUCAAAUUCAGACUGCAUUUGCUCAACAAAAUGUUUAACCAUUUUACUUGACAUCCCACCAAACACAAUAUCACCCACAUAGAUCUGAACAAUCAUGAGCUUUCCUCCUUCAUCUUUGACAAUAAAGUCUUAUCAAUGUCUCCCUUUCUGUAUCCAUUGUCAAUGAGAAACACUGUGAGUCUCUCAUACCAAGCUCUAGGAGCUUGUUUCAACCCAUAAAGAGCUUUCCUCAACUUAUACACAUGCUUUGGAAUAUUUGGGUCUGUGAAUCCCUUUGGUUGUUCAACAUAUACUUCCUCAUUCAAGUAGCCAUUUAAGAAGGCACUUUUCACAUCCAUUUGGAACAAUUUAAACUUCAGAAUGCAUGCCACUCCUAGCAAUAAUCUAAUGGACUCCAGGCGAGCUACAUGAGAAAAUGUUUCAUCAAAGUCAACUCCUUCAACUUAAGUGUAUCCUUGUGCUACCAAUCUUGCUUUAUUUCUAGUAACCACACCUUUUUCAUCAGAUUUAUUCUUGUAAACCCACUUUGUUCCAAUAACAUUUAUUCCUUCAGGUCUUGGAACUAAUUCCCAUACUUCAUUUCUCUUGAAUUGGCCAAACUCUUCCUGCAUGGCAUUGAUCCAAAAUUCAUCAGUUAAGGCUUCUUUAACAUUCUUAGGCUCAAUCUUGGACACAAAACAGACAUGCGAGAUCACUUCCCUUGAUCUAGUGGUGACCCCUUUAUUUGGGUCUCCUAUAAUGAUAUCUUUAGGAUGAUCCUUCUGAAUUCUGAUAGAGGGUCCCUUAUUUACUUUAUCAGCUUCGGGUUCAGCUUGAGUGAACUCACUCUCACUACUUUUGUCUAGGAGUUUAGCUGGGGCAUCAUUCAGAAAUGUUUCAACAUCGUCUGUGACAUCAGUCUCUUGAUCAUCAAUAACAACAUUGAUAGAUUCCAUCAUAACUUUUGUUCUGGAAUUAAAAACUCUAAAGGCUCUGUUGUUUGUUGAGUAGCCCAGAAAUAUUCCUUCAUCACUCUUGGGGUCCAUUUUCCUUCUUUGUUCACGAUCAACCAGGAUAUUGCAUUUACUACCAAACACAUGGAAGUAUUUGACAGUAGGUCUUCUUCCCUUCCAGACUUCAUAUAAAGUGGUUGAGGUCCCUUUUCUCAAGGUUACUCUGUUGUGAACAUAACAGGCCGUGUUCAUAGCUUCAGCCCAGAAGUGGUGAGGCAACUUCUUAGCAUGAAUUAUAGCUUUAGCAGAUUCUUGGAGAGUUCUAUUUUUCCUUUCCACCACACCAUUUUGCUGAGGGGUAAUGAGAGAAGAGAACUCAUGACCAAUCCCUUCAGAUGAACAGAAUUCAGAAAAUUUACUGUUCUCAAAUUCUUUCCCAUGAUCACUUUUGAUUUUGAUAACAUGACUCUCUCUUUCUCUUUGAAGUCUUUGGCACAGGUCUUUGAACACAUCAAACACAUCAGAUUUUUCCCUUAUAAAAUUCACCUAGGUAUAUUUGAAGAAGUCUUCCACCACAACAUAAGCAUACCUUUUCCCACCAAGACUUUCCACCUGCAUAGGUCCCAUCAAGUCCAUGUGGAGAAGUUCCAGCACUUUGGAUGUGGUGUCAUGUUUGAUCUUCUGAUGUGACAUCUAUGUCUGCUUUCCAAUCUGACAUUCACCAUAUACUCUUCCUUCUUCAAUCUUUAAUUUUGGGAUUCCUCUGACAACUUCAACAUAUAUGAUCCUCUUCAUUCCUUUAAGAUGCAGAUGACCCAGUUUUUGAUUCCAUAGUUUCACUUCUUCUUCUUUAGCUAGAGAACAUACUGAUGAAUAACUAGUUUCUUGAGGAAUCCACAUAUAGCAGUUGUCCUUAGAUCUGACUCCUCUCAUGGUCACCUCAUUUUUUGAGUUAGUAAUCAAGCAUUCAGUUUUUGUGAAGUUCACAUUUAGACCUUGAUCGCAUAGUUGACUGAUGCUGAUCAGGUUUGCAGUCAAUCCUUUAACAAGCAGCACAUUAUCAAGGUUAGGAAUUCCAGGGCAGUUCAGCUUUCCAAUCCCCUUGAUUUCACCCUUUGCUCCAUCACAAAAAGUUACAUAGCUGGUGACAUGAGAUUGAAGGUCAACCAGUAGGUUUUUGCUUCCAAUCAUGUGUCUGAAGCAUCCACUGUCAAAGUACCAAUCUUCUUUGGCUGAGACUCUGAAGGAAGUGUGAGCUAUCAAGUUAGUAGCACCAGCCCUAGGAACCCACUAUUUUCUGUUAGCAGAGAUGAGUUGUUUGGGUCUAGGUUGAUGAGUAGGACUAGAUAACCAUACAACCUAAAGCAGAAUGGUAUUAUGUGACCAAAUUUCCCACAAUAAUGACAUCUCCAUCUUUUGUGUUUACCUUUAUGUUAUCUUUCCUUGUGAUGUUGAGACACCUGAUGUGACAUCUUUGGUUUGCUACCAGUGGGACUACAAUCAGGAGAGGAUUCAUUGAACCAAGGCUAGUCAUGUCUCCUGCCAUCUUUCCAGCCUGGAGGAUUUUGUCUAAGGUGUCAGAUCCACUGUUUAGCAUUCUGACAUACUUCGUCAUCUCAUCCAGAUUGGAAUUCAGGAACACGAUUUUGAUCUUCAACUUAGAAAUGGUUCCUAAGUGUUAUGUCUUCUCAGCCUCUAGCUGGCUUAUCAGUUUCUUCUGAUUCACCACUUAUUGACACACUUCCUCACUUCUAAAACACAACUUUCUGUAAGAAGUGGCUAAUUCAUCAAAGGUUAAUUCAUCAUCACUGAAGUCUUCAUCAGGAUCCCAUCUCCCAGUCAAGGCAAUCACAAGAUUGGCAGAUUCUCCUUCUGUUUCACUUUCAGAAUUAUCAUUAGACCAAGUAGCAGCAAGACUCUUCUUCUAUUUCUUGAGAUAGGUCCCACAUUCAGCUCUAAUGUGACCAUACCCUUCACAUUCAUGGCACUGAAUUCCUUUGCCCUGUUUGGAUUUUUCCUCAGAUUUUGUUCUUCUUCCAGCAUCAUUGGGCCUACUGAUGUCAAAUGAGUUGUUACAUGGCACUGAAUUCCUUUGCCCUGUUUGGAUUUUUCCUCAGAUUUUGUUCUUCUUCCAGCAUCAUUGGGCCUACUGAUGUCAAAUGAGUUGUUCUUGACAUUAUACUUUGACCUCACAUCCAUCCUUUUCAGGAUUUUGUUGAAUUGUCUUCCAAGUAACGCUAAAUCAUUUGACAUAUCUUCAUCAGUAUCCUGACUACUUUCUUCCUUUUUAUCUUCAGUGUUUGACACAAAGGCUAUGCUUUUGACUUUCUUUUCAUAUCCAUCACUCAUUCCCAACUCGAAUGUUUGGAGGGAUCCAAUUAGCUCAUCCACUCUCAUCUUGCAGAUAUCUUGAGAUUCUCCUAUGGCUGUCACUUUCAUGGAAAAUCUCUUGGGAAGUGAUCUGAGAAUUUUCCUCACAAGCUUUUCAUCUGACAUCUUCUUACCCAGGGCUCCCGAGGCAUUAGCCAUUUCAAGGAUAUUCAUAUGGAAGUCAUGAAUACUUUCAUCUUCUUUCAUCCUCAAAUUCUCAAACUUAGUAGUAAGUAGCUGCAAUCUAGACAUCUUCACUCUAGAGGUACCUUCAUGAGUGGUUUUGAGAAUAUUCCAAGCAUCUUUAGCCACCUCACAAUUGUUCACCAGUCUGAAGAUGUUCUUAUCAACCCCAUUGAAUAUAGCAUUCAAUGCUUUAGAGUUUNNNNNNNNNNNNNNNNNNNNNNNNNNNNNNNNNNNNNNNNNNNNNNNNNNNNNNNNNNNNNNNNNNNNNNNNNNNNNNNNNNNNNCAUCUUUAGCCACCUCACAAUUAUUCACCAGUCUGAAGAUGUUCUUAUUAACCCCAUUGAAUAUAUCAUUCAAUGCUUUAGAGUUUUCAAGAGCUAGUUCAUCCUCCUCCUUGGUCCAUUCUUCCUUAGGCUUCUUAUCAGUUGUAACUUCUCCAUCCUUCGUAGUGAAGGGAUGUUCCCAGCCUGUUAGAACAACCUUCCAAGCCUUAUUAUCCAACGAUUUCAGGAAGGCUACCAUCCAAGGUUUCCAGUAGUCAUAGUUAGAUCCAUCAAGAAUUGGUUGUCUGUGUACAGAUCCUCCGUCUCUAUCCAUAGUACCAGAAAGUAACGUCCCAAGAUCUCACCCAGAACCAGAGCAGGAUGCCUGCUCUGAUACCAAUUGAAAUUCUGGUAUCAGAUAUGAGAUGUCGAAGAUAAUGUCACGACACUAAUAUCUGAGCAACAAGUGACAUAUAAACAGGAUAAAAACAGAGAAAUAGUUGAAAAAGCGACACAAGCAAUUGUUAACCCAGUUUGGUGCAAACACACCCACGUCUGGGGGCUACCAAGCUAGGAAGGAAAUCCACUAAAAAGAAUUAGUUCAAAGACUCUCAAUAAAUAACUUCAAGUUACAGUCUUUUCACCUAAUCUCUACCCGUGUGACUUCUAUCUAAGAACUCUUAGAUAUGAGACCCUACUCACUCCCCCUCAAUCACAACAGUGAUACUAGAACAAAUACUACAAUGAAAGAAGACACACUUCAAGGACACAUACUUGAUCUUGCUUAAAAGCUUCAAUCAAGUAAACAAAUACACUCGUACUUCAAAGCUUAGAGUGGACAAAUUACAACUCAAAACUCAGUCCAAUUCACACAUCAACAAGAUGAAUGAAUGGCUCACAAUUCACAAACGUACAUUAGGCUAAAACCCUAAUACUCACUCACUUCAACGUUUGUAUUUUCUUCUUUUUUUUCACACAGGGUUUACAUGGUCUUUAAAUAGAAGCUUUCUGAAUGGGCCUGGGCAACAUGUAACCCUAAUCCUAUUUAAUGUGUAUUCCCUAGGAACAAAUCAUUCCUCUUUGAGAAACAAAAUAUUUUGGAUUUAAAUAGAAUUACUCCUUGAAUAACGCAUGCAAUCUCCACAUAAGCACACAAAGACUUGCAUGAAAAGCGCAACAACAAAACACAUAACAUUCAGACUGAAUGUUCUGUAUGCACAUGUCUUAACAUCGGGUCUGACAUCUUGAAUAAAUCCUGCACAACCAUAUUAAACAACCUGCAUGAAGCUAAUAUGACAUGUCCAGACACCACGCAUGACAUCUAGUGAUAACACUAAGUUUUACCAAAAUUGAUGUCAAUACAUAGAACCAACACAAUUACACCACACCCAUCAGGGACAAAAUGAUUUUUAAGCAAGGUAGAAAGGUUGUGGAGGUUUUUACGCUUUGAACACUCGUUGUGAACAGAUCUGACACGAAGUUUUCCAUUUACAUGGUAUCCCUACGCCUCCCGCUCUAAAAGUGGAUGUUAUGGGACCUAAGCCUAGCAGGUGAUGUAAGUUUCAUUAGUUUAAAGAACACCACACAGAAGAUUGCUACUAACUCAAGAAGGAGAUCAAGCGUCUAAUUAAGGAGGGACACUUUAAGAAGUAUGUUAAAGGUGACUCCUCUCAAGUUUCAGGAGGUCAAACUCCCAAGAGAAUGACGGUUAAUGAAGCCCUAAAUCCAAAAAGGGAAAGGAACCAUCCAAAGAGUAGGGCGACAAGGUCGUACGCCAUAAGUUCAAUACUAUUGUAGGAGGAUUUGUUGGGGGUGGAGAGACUAGCUCCGCCUGAAGAAUAUAUGCACACAAAAUAUUAAAUAUAGAGGAUCUGCCCAUGGAUUCGAAGGAAGGAGAGACCAAGACGCCAGAGGUUGAGAACACCUUCUCAUUGAAAGAUGCAACAUGUAUCCAUCCCCACAAUGAUGACCCCAUGGUCAUCACCUUGAGGUGCGAUGACUGAGAAAUCAGAAGAGUCCUGGUAGACCAAGGAAGCUCUGUAGAUAUCCUUUAUUGGGAUUCAUUUGAGAGACUCCUCUUUGACCAAGAUGACCUAAAAGCUUUCAAAGGGUCACUAGUUGGAUUCUCUAAGGAGCUCGUACAAGUGAAAGGCUACAUAGUACUGAUGAAUACAUUUUGAGUAGGAACAAACAAAUAAAAUCAAGGUCAGGUAUGUGGUUAUAGAUGCCCCAUCUUCUAAUAACAUGGUCAUAUGGAAACCAACUUUCAAUCAUUUGGGAGCCGUUUUUUCUACUUAAUAUUUGUGCAAGAAAUAUGUAACACCCUAUUUCCAGACUCACAAAAUAAUAUAACAAUUCAAAAUAUAUUUUCAUCCAAGGGUGUCAGACAUUCUCAAAUAAAACACUUGUUAUUAAAUUAAACAGCUUGCAGCAGAAAAAAUGAAACAUUGAAAAACACAUUCACAUAGUCUCAUCAAAUGAAAUUACUCAAAUAACAUUAGUUUUUGAAAUGAACACGGUAAUUCUCCAAAAAAAUAAAUAAUUUCCCAUCCCCAGUGUUACAAUACCAGAGUGACCCAAAUGGUACUAGACAAAACGGAAAAACAAAGAAGAAGACAAUGACCGCCAUUUUUCAACAGAACAACACUACAUGCUACCUGUAUCUACAACAUGGACAUAAAAUUCAGGCACAAACAGAAAACGGGAGGAGGGGGGAGUGAUAAUAAUUCAUACAAAUGUUAGCGGUGAAAGUAAACAGACAAUUAUAAAAAUACAUAGAUUAUUCUCACACAACAACAAUAACAUUACAAUUUAUAAUGCAAAUGCGAAAGACACAAACUUCUCCUCUAAUUUGCAUGUGAUACCAGGUUUUUAGGCAUUAAAGGUGUAUUAUUGAUUUAUCCAUAUCUUCAAUUCCUCUCUGAAUCGUGUCCCUCUCUAGACAUGAGAUCGUCUUGGUUCCUCUGUAAAUCUGACCUCAUUGGACCGAAGUCCUACCUAACUCCAAUAUGUGUGUGUGUAGUGCAUGUGUGCGUGUGUGUGUGACAGAAAACAAUAAUAGAACUCAAACAAUCACCAAAAUCAUUCUCAAAAUUUCAAAACAGAAUUAUCUCUUGAAUCAUAAGUUUGCCAAUUAUCAGAUCACACUGUAAUUCCUCUGAAAUAUUCAACUCAAAAAUAUUAAUAUAAUUAAUUUUAAUCAUUAUAUUAUAACUCAAAAAUUAUCAACAACUAAGUAAAAUUGUAUUUACUCAUCAGCUAAAAAUUCCUAAUCUACAAAUGUAAAAUUACAUAUAUAGAGCCUUUGGGUUCGACAUAUAUUUCCACAUCACACUUGUUUUCUUCACAUGCAUAACCAUAAUUUCUUAAUGAGUUUAUGAAUUCUUCUAAACCAUGACUCUCAUGUUUCCACCAAAUUUUCACAACAUCUUAUAACUUUAAAUCAAUCCUCUUAAUUAGGUUACGAGCUUCGAAACACGACAAGAAGUUUGAAUCCUGACCAUUAUAUGCAUAAACAUUAUCACUAUCAUACCAAUACCUUAACUUAUGGUCUUUUACAAAACAACCCUAGUGAAGAAGACAACCUUAAACAAGCUUAUGUCCUAUAAUGAAAUCAAAGGAUGCAAUUUAAAUUUGAUAUAAAGGGAAAUUCAAUACAGUAUAAUAUACGAAGUAUAAACUCAUAUCAAAUAGGAGACUCUUUUCAUGAAAAACAUAGAAGACAAAAUAUGCAAAGUACAAUACAUUAUACGAAGUAUAAACUUACAAUAAACAAAACAUAGAAUACAAUUCAAUACACUUAGAAUCGGAAAACCUACAAUAUGAUAUGAUACGAUAAAAAAUGUACAAGAAAUUUAAGGACAUAUGUGACCAACCUGAAUUUCAAAGAGAUUAUUUUAGUAGUUCGUAAUGCUUCAAUGGAACCACAAACUACAACUUUCAAAGCCCUUAACAACUUAAGAGACCUCCAUGUUAACCAAGUGACUUCAAAUAAAAGAGGGGGUGAAUUGUGAUGUAUUUUUUAUGUACAAGUUUAAAAAGAAAAAUAGAGAAUAAACCAUUGAAUUUUAUCGUGAUUCACCCCAAAACCAAGAGGCCUAUGUUCAACACCUAAGGAGUAACCCUUGAGGUUUCUACUAUCACAUAAAUUUUACAAUAUGAUCAUCCCACAACCUUCUAAGACCAAGUUUUUAUCUUUGUUUAACUUGCAACCUUAACAUGAAAAUAUCAUAUCAAAAUUAUUUACAUAAGAUAACCCUACUUAAGAUUUUUCUCUCUCAGCAUUAAAUAGUAUUUAAAUGAAUAUGAAAAUUUAGAAGAGUUAGUUAGUGAGUAGAACAGAGGUUAUCUCAUAUUUCUUGUGUUAUCAUAUGAACACAAUUCCUCUUUUAAUAGUAAAAACUAUGGCCAAGAAAGGAAAUCAUUUUAGAAGAUUCAUAAUCGAUUAUGAACUAGUAAAAUAGGGAAAAAAAUGGAUCUAGAUUAUAAUCAAAAAUAAAGUUUCCUUAAUUAAUUAUUGAACGAGAUCGCUCCAUAAUCGACAAGACAAGUUACAUAAUUGAUUAGAGGGAAUUUUUGUGUGUCAUAAUCGAUUAAAAAUAUGAGAAGGAGAAUUUUUCUUUAUCACCAGAACCCUGAUAGUUGCGUCGGGAUUUUUAUGUUUAUGUCUAACACGGUAGUUUCUUUAUGAUUAUUUUGACGUAAAUUAGUCUUUUCCAUACUUCUUUAGAAUAUUUAUUAAAUUCUACAAAAACAUAAAAAAAAACUUAAAAUUAAAAAAACACUUAAAAUAACUAUAAGUUAUAGUAAACGUGCUAUGACAAACUGUCAUUAAUUAACACCCACAAGCUAAUGAGCAUUGAAACCUAUCUUUAUUUCACAUUAAUCUAACCAAAUAUUUUAAUGCCUUCAUCUUAGUAUGGUGAUGCAAUUGUUUACAAUUCCUUGCUUGAAUAAACUUGAAACCUGAAAGUAGAGGCUUUGGCAUGAACAUCGAAAGCUAAAAACAUGUUGUUUUUCCUAUGAUAUUCAAUGUUUAAGAGAGAGUAAAAUGAAGCUAGCAUGUUACCUUGAAUGGACAAGAAAAUUAGCAAGUCGCAGGUAAUUUGCAGCUAAUCUCUAUCUAACAGAAUUAGUUGGAGACUAGUUGUGGAUUAGCUAUGGUAUUUGCCGUAGCAUGGAUUGGGCGGCUAAUUAGCUAUUUAUAAAUUUCCUAGCUAAAUUCAAACUAAUAUUUUAAAAUUCCUAGUUAAACCAAAACUAAAAUGUAGCAAACUUUUCGAGUUAUGUUUCACAACUAUAUAGCUACAAAUUCGCCACAAUAAUACAACAGUAAAUCUCAAGCUAAAUAAGACUAGUUAAAAUUAUAUUAUAAUAAUUAUUUUUUUAUCAAACCUAAAACGUCAAUUUAGGGCUAGUUUAUAAAAAAAAGUAUUUCAUAAAAAACUGUUUUUGAAAAUUAAGCAUUUAAAUAAACAAAAGUAAAAUUUUAAAAAAACUAGUUACAUAUAAAUUGUUUUCAUUUAACGAAUUGUAAUUAAUGUACCAAAAUGCUGAGAACACAAUGAAAAAUCGACUGAUCUUAAUCUUCUACAGCAAUUUAUUGCUUUACAUCUAAAUUACAAAGGUAUUAAACUAAGAAAAUUGUUCUAUGACGAUAGGCAUGUGCAAGUUUCUUUCUUUACUUGUUUUCUGUAUGAAUCAUGAUGAUGGGAAAGAUCGAAGAGUACAAUAAACACAUUACAACAAAAUUUAAGCACAUCCUUUUUAAGUUUUAAGAUUUAAUGAUAAUAAAGGCAUCUCCAUCAUGAUAUGAGUACCUGAAUAAUUUCCAAGAGAUAUGGAACAGCUUAAUGAACUUGUCUCCGGGAAAAAUGUGAAGACUGAUUUAGACACACUAAACAAAAACACCAGUUCUUCAUUUUCUACCACAUAAUGAUAAUCCCUCUGAUGAUUAAAACUCUAUCUCCUGAUGAUAGACAAUCAAACAGAUAAAUAAACAAAAGCUCACAAGCAAGAGAUGUGUCUAAAUUGCAUUUAAGCUGCGAAGGGGUAGGCUUCUUCCGGUGCACCAGACCAGCCCUAUCUAGACAGCCUGCAGCUGUUGCAUAUCUGAGCAGAAUUCCAUAUGCGGAAAUUUCAAUUCUUCCAUAUGUUUGAUGAUGGCGUAUGACUUGAAGAUAUCUCAAGCCUCGUCUUUAAGAAAAUUCAAGUGAAAUGCUUAUGUGAUUAGUUUAUUCGACAAAGGUUUUGAAGUUUCAGAGUGUAAAAGAGAGGAAGUGUGAAAACUCACUUAAUCCUAUUUAAUUGCAGUGUUUUGUAAAAACACAAGAUACUUUUAAAAACUGUACUGAUAAACAAAAUAUAGGUGUGCGCGUUCCUUAUUGCAAAAACGUUGUAAUCUUAUACUUUUUAUGUGUUUAGUUUCGAAUCUUCCCUUGUCCUAAUUUUGUUUUGUAAACAUUUAAAAAAGUAUAUCCUUAGAAAUUAAACACAGUAGUAAAAUGGAAGUUGAGCCUAAAAAUGUGGUUGAGAUAAGUUUGAAAUAUUAGCCAUAAAAGUAUGGACUCAUGUCUCAAGUGUUGCAAUGUGUGAAGAGAUUGGUUGAGAUUAGGAACUGUUGUUUAUGUCCAAAACACUCUAAACACUUGCUGCAGAGUUUAAGAUUCGGCAAUCUAGUAGUAAUUUAUGCCAUUGCCAAGGAACUUAUAGGCUUGGAUUAGAAAACAUUUAUAUGUCCUAUGACUUUUUUUAACAAAAGGCAGCAAUGUGUUUUUCAAAUUUAUUUAAUCAAAAUAAAAAGAAACUAAAUUACAAAGUUGGAAAAUUAGGCAAAAUCCAAAAUAAACAAGCGGGCAUGCAUAUACAAGAACAUAUCAUAUGACAGUAUGAGUAAUGAUGAUCUAAAGACACAAAAUAAACAAACUGCAAAGACAUGAAGGGGGAAUAAAAGAAACUGCAAUUGUCACGUCCGCUAGGAUUUAAGCCUGUCAAAAAUCAUUUCCUGUGAUUGAAAGAGGAGGGGCUGAAAGAUCGGUACAACAGGCACUCAAAGCCCAAACCAGAAAGAUGGUCAUGAAAAGAAGAAAUAGAAGAAGUGAAAAUAAAAAUUCAAUAGCAGAGAAAAUUGGUCUAACUAUAUAAAGAAAAAUUGAACUUCCUAGAAAGGAAGAGGUUUUGCGAUGAGUAUGACAAGAUAAAGAUUCAGGCUUCAAUUAUGAAAAGUUCUGGGCACGGCACGGUGAAGGUAAGCAAACUCAAAAGAAUGAAGAGGAAGCUAAUGUGGGUCAAGAUGAUGACUCAUACUGAUGCAACAUGGAUACAAGCAAGAAGACACAUGUGAGAGGCAUGAGGAACAUUGUCGUUACAAGAAGAGAUGCAAGAACAACUAGGAUAGCAAAUGUAAUGUUAGUUCUUAGCUAAGAAGUUGCCUAUAAAGGUAGCAGCCAGACAAAGCUCGGUAUGGAAGGAAACCUAACCUGACUCAUCCAAAAGUAUUUAGGUCAUUUUGGUUUAUACACAUACCUGAUGCGAUGCUAGAAGUAAAAUAGAUGAUAUUACUAGGGUAUCAUCCCACAAAUGCAUACAAGUAGUACAAUCCAAGAACUAAAUUGUAGAAAAACAUUAGAGGAAAUAAAUGUUCAUUUUUAACAUAAAACAGAAGAGAUCCAAUACAAGAAGAAGACAUGAUCCAUGAACUUGUGUGACUUUCAUGACUUUAACCAAACCAAUCAGAGGUUAACAAUGGUGGGCUUAAAGUCAACUAUAAUAACCUUUUCCAAGCUAGGAAGAAACAAAUUUGCAAACUCAACAUGUGCAGGAUGAGCCCCAUACUCUGCAAUGGCUUCCACACUAUCAAAGGUUGAUUCAAACACAUGAGUAAAACCUUGGUGCAGGUUUUCAGCACUUACAUCCGUGCCCCUAUAAUACAUAUACGAGGAUUGUUAAUUUCAUAGAUCUAGAUCUUAGAAUUCUACAAUUUUGGUUGAUUGGAAAGAGAUCCAGAUUCUGCAAAUCGAAAAGGAAAACAGGGUUGAAUGAAAUAGUGAGUAGGUACCAGUGGAAUGACUUCAUGACUGGGAUGAGAUUGACGAGAUUGGCAUAGCCCUUGAUGAGUUCGUCGAUUCGCUGUUGAGUGAUGUCGUCCUUGAACUUUCCGAGGAGUAUGUGUAUCACUAUUCCAUUUGCUUCUGCCAUUUCUUUUCUUCCUUUUCGUUUCCCACUUGCUAAACUAUAGUCUCUCCGAAAUAAUACUUUAAUAAUGCUGCACCGUAGCUGUACACAUAUGUUCAAUCAAAAUACUUUAAGAUAUUAAAUCAUAUAAAUAAUUUAAAAUUUACACGGACUUGAUCGAGAAACAUGAAUGUCGUUGGUUGUCAGUGUAAAAAUAAUUUUCAGUCAAAGUUGAUCAUCCUUUUUUUUUUAAAAUAAAUAUCACUUUAAUAAAAUAAAUUGUUUUAAAAUAGAUCUCAUUUUUUCACUUUUCACUUUAAUAAAGGAAAGAAAGCCUCAAUCAGAACCAGCUAAGUGUCUGACUUUAUUUGUCAUGGUUCCCCACUAUUGUGUCUAACAAAUGAAGGCUAUCUUUAUUUAACAUUAAUCUAACCAAAGAUUUUAAUGGCUUCAUCUUAGUGAAGAUGCAAUUGUUUACAAUUCCUUUAUUGAAUAAAUUUGAAACCUGAAAGUAGAGGCUUUGCCAUGAACGUCGAAAGCUAAAAACAUGUGUCAAGAACAACUAGUAAAACUAAUGAGCUUUAUAUAAUCAAGCUUGCUAUUAAGAAACCAAAUGUGAUUUUAGGACAAGUAUGCUUGAGAGCCAUUGCCAAGAAACUAAUGAGGUUUGGAUCAGAAAAGGAUGAAGACAUUUAUAUGUCCAAUGACAGUACGAGUAAUGAUGAUCUAAAGAUACAAAAUAAACAAACUGCAAAGACAUGAAGGAAGAAUAAAAGAUACAAAAUCAUUUCCUGAUGAUGAGUCUAUAUACAAUCUAUACGUGACAAUUUCAAGUGUCCCCUCCAGAAGGAGAUUUCAUGUCCUGAUCAUUUGAAGUACUAGUUGUUGCUGAUGUCGGAUUUCUUAUGUUUCCAUCUCCCACUGAUGGAGUUGUUGGCAAAAUUUCAGACGUACAAGCUUCUUCUUUGAUGGAGCUGUUGGGAUCAAUGUUGGCCCCAAUCAUCUGAUCAACCAAAACAUAAAGAUUGUUACUAACUUUUAACACCACUGGUUGAGAUUUAUGCAGUCUCGCGUGAAUUUCCAUCAAUCAAUAAUCGAAAUAGGAUAUGCUUACUUGAAGAGGGACGGCUGCUAUGGGAUUUUUUUCAUCAUUUCGAGCAAUCUCUGCAAUUCUUGCACCUGUUUUCUUAGCAGUGUUUGUGUUGAAUAAGGCCGCAGUAAUCUAAUUGAACAAAAAGAUGAAGAUUGUUACUCGCUUAAAUAAAAACGAAUGAGUGCAGCCAUUUUGAAUAUGAUCUGCUUACUUUAACAUGCCUGGCCACUAUGAGAGAAUUGACAGAAGCAUUUGCAAACGGUUUUCCCUUAUCAUCUAUGCAUGUAACCAUACAUGUUGCCUUUGCACGACAGUGACGACCAGCACCAUCAACCAGACUUUUUAUCGACAUUAAAUGUAUCUCAAAUUCUCCCUACAUGCAUAUAGGAAAUUCGAAUAAACGGCACACACACACACACACAACACAAAUCAAAAGAUAUGAUUUAACCUUGAUGUGGAUGGGACCGUCUGGAGUAAGACUCACAAUGUCUGAUACAGAACCCGAUGCAGAAAGUAUGAUAACAGUUUUACGACGAUUUUCCACAGAUAUAUUGUAUAGAACCUCUACCACAUCCUGCAAAUCAUAUGUUCAGUAAAUGUAAUACAAAAUUGCAUCUGAAAUGUUAACAUUAGUCAGUUCAUGUAAUACCUGGCGAGCAUUCAACUCAAUCACAUGAGAAGGUCAUUUUGGUUUAUACACAUACCUGAUGCGAUGCUAGAAGUAAAAUAGAUGAUAUUACUAGGGUAUCAUCCCACAAAUGCAUACAAGUAGUACAAUCCAAGAACUAAAUUGUAGAAAAACAUUAGAGGAAAUAAAUGUUCAUUUUUAACAUAAAACAGAAGAGAUCCAAUACAAGAAGAAGACAUGAUCCAUGAACUUGUGUGACUUUCAUGACUUUAACCAAACCAAUCAGAGGUUAACAAUGGUGGGCUUAAAGUCAACUAUAAUAACCUUUUCCAAGCUAGGAAGAAACAAAUUUGCAAACUCAACAUGUGCAGGAUGAGCCCCAUACUCUGCAAUGGCUUCCACACUAUCAAAGGUUGAUUCAAACACAUGAGUAAAACCUUGGUGCAGGUUUUCAGCACUUACAUCCGUGCCCCUAUAAUACAUAUACGAGGAUUGUUAAUUUCAUAGAUCUAGAUCUUAGAAUUCUACAAUUUUGGUUGAUUGGAAAGAGAUCCAGAUUCUGCAAAUCGAAAAGGAAAACAGGGUUGAAUGAAAUAGUGAGUAGGUACCAGUGGAAUGACUUCAUGACUGGGAUGAGAUUGACGAGAUUGGCAUAGCCCUUGAUGAGUUCGUCGAUUCGCUGUUGAGUGAUGUCGUCCUUGAACUUUCCGAGGAGUAUGUGUAUCACUAUUCCAUUUGCUUCUGCCAUUUCUUUUCUUCCUU